UCCUACGGGAGGCAGCAGUGGGGAAUCUUGCGCAAUGGGCGAAAGCCUGACGCAGCAACGCCGCGUGCGGGAUGAAGGCCUUCGGGUUGUAAACCGCUUUCAGUGGGGACGAACCAAGACGGUACCCACAGAAGAAGCCCCGGCCAAUUACGUGCCAGCAGCCGCGGUAACACGUAGGGGGCAAGCGUUGUCCGGAUUCAUUGGGCGUAAAGAGCUCGUAGGCGGUUCGAUAAGUCGGGUGUGAAACCUCCAGGCUCAACCUGGAGACGCCACCCGAUACUGUCGUGACUAGAGUCCAGUAGGGGGGCGUGGAAUUCCUGGUGUAGCGGUGAAAUGCGCAGAUAUCAGGAGGAACACCAGCGGCGAAGGCGGCGCUCUGGGCUGGCACUGACGCUGAGGAGCGAAAGCGUGGGGAGCGAACAGGAUUAGAUACCCUGGUAGUCCACGCCGUAAACGUUGGGUACUAGGUGUGGGGUCUUAUCAACGGAUUCCGUGCCGAAGCUAACGCAUUAAGUACCCCGCCUGGGGAGUACGGCCGCAAGGCUAAAACUCAAAGGAAUUGACGGGGGCCCGCACAAGCAGCGGAGCAUGUUGCUUAAUUCGAGGCAACGCGAAGAACCUUACCUGGGUUUGACAUGGUAGGAAAAGCCAUAGAGAUAUGGUGUCCUUUUGGGCCUAUCACAGGUGGUGCAUGGCUGUCGUCAGCUCGUGUCGUGAGAUGUUGGGUUAAGUCCCGCAACGAGCGCAACCCUUAUCCUAUGUUGCCAGCGCGUAAUGGCGGGGACUCGUGGGAGACUGCCGGGGUCAACUCGGAGGAAGGUGGGGACGACGUCAAGUCAUCAUGCCCCUUAUGUCCAGGGCUGCAAACAUGCUACAAUGGCUGGUACAAAGGGCUGCGAAACCGCGAGGUCGAGCGAAUCCCAUAAAGCCAGUCUCAGUUCGGAUCGGAGUCUGCAACUCGACUCCGUGAAGCUGGAGUUGCUAGUAAUCCCGGAUCAGCAUCGCCGGGGUGAAUACGUUCCCGGGCCUUGUACACACCGCCAU
rnacentral:rRNA from 1 species